AACGUAGGAGACAAACGUUAUCCGGAGUUACUGGGCGUAAAGGGCGUGCAGGUGGUCUGUUAAGUCUGGCGUGAAAGCUCUCGGCUAAACCGGGAGAGGUCGUUGGAUACUGGCGGACUAGAGGACGGUAGAGGUGUGUGGAAUUCCGGGUGUAGUGGUGAAAUGCGUAGAGAUCCGGAGGAACACCAGUGGCGAAGGCGACACACUGGGCCGUACCUGACACUGAGGCGCGACAGCGUGGGGAGCAAACAGG
rnacentral:rRNA from 1 species